GGCUGGUCAAGGUGGGCUCUUCGUCCAGCCUGCUGGAGAUCGACCAGUAGAGGUGCGCGUCAAGCCUGGCUGCAGCCAAUGAGAGCUCACGCGCCGAGCAGGAGGGCGUGUCCACCUGGGGGAGCGUGGAACAGAGCAUUUCAGUCAAACUCAGACCGUCUUCGUCUGCGCAAUAUCUUGUCACUGGAAUGCCUACAUUUCCCAGCAUUCGUUCCCCCAAGCCCAAGAGGAUGCGAGCAUUCAGCUGCUGCUCACGCAUGUAGGUGGAGACAGGAAUAGGGAUAACGGAGUUGUUCCAGUUUUCCACGGUCAAAAAGCUGCUACUUAGAAGACACUGACUGCAGCUGCUUCCAGCCGAUAGAAGCUCUUGGUGUAAGUUUCUCAGAUACGAGCGAUCGCAGACCAAGGGUCAAUGUUUACCUAUGUUUUACAAAUGUUGUACAGCAGUACUAUUAUACAAACACAAUCUCAUGCAGUAAACAGCACCUGCUUUCUCAGGUAGAGAGACAUUUCAGGAAAUGCACUGUUAAAUAUAGUUAGUUAACUCAGUGUCAUAUCACUACUCGCCCAAGCUGCAAAGUCAAACAUCGCUCUAUCAGAAAGCUCUUAUUUCAGUACCUCGAACGUGUGAUGAAAGGCCCCGUAGUCGAUGUCAAAGAAACCCUCUGCCAGACACAUCAUUGGGCUGAACCUGUGGCCCCACAGCACCUCCUCCGCUAGAUAGGAGCUCCUGGCCUGGCACGUCAUGCCUGCACAAGCCAGAAGGACACCCAUGAAACCAUUCAUUCAGCCUCCUACAUGCGUAACACAUCACACAAAGCAGCAGGAAGUCAGACGGCACACCAAAGAAGCCCGAUGCAGACACGUCGUAAUUUAUUCCCCCAUCUAAUUAGAUUUAACUGGCAGGCAGCUUGUAACGCUGUCUGCAGCAGAGUUAUGACUGUCAGCUACCUCCACAUAACACUCUCACUAAGAGAAUCAAUAUUUGGAGUAGGCAGAGUCCACCUUUUCCUCACGGAGACGCGUCACGCAUAGCGCUGAUAACAGUGACCAACAGAUUUUUAUCCUCUCAAACGUAAAAUCACAAGACACAAAAGGAACCAGCUUGUUUUUUUUCUAUUUAAUGCCCCCCAGUGUAGGAUUUCCACUUCACACAUAUCUGAUCUAUGAGUUGUUCUUUGCUGCACCUCAGUAGGAUGCAGAAAAUUGUCCGUGUUUGAUUUAAAGGGCUUUACAAGAUGAAAGCUGACAUGCGUUUAAACGAAGGGCCAGAGCAGCUAUCAGCCUGAAACAUAUUCACAUUUCCAGCUUUUAGCUGGCGAUUUAUCAGUGACUAACACUGAGUUAACACAGUAUCUCACUGCCUUGCUCAAGGGCAGCUGAGUGGUCACUGACACAUGCUGGCUAAUGUGAAGAUGGAAACAGUUUGAGUUAAUGUGCUUCCCAAUGCACUCUGUUGCUUGUGCUGUAACACCCUGUAUUUGUGUGUUAAUAACAAUGUAAAAAUUCUAAAACUGCAUGAGGGCCUUUGAGUGAUCAAAACAUUUAGUGUCUCUCGCCAGUAAAAACCUCUCCCUUUACUGAUUACUCUCCAGUUUGUUCUCCCUGAUUUAACUAUAUAUAUAAUAUAUGCAUAUUUUACCUCUGAUUGCAGCAGCAUCCGUCUCCUAAAGCCCACUCAGUGAAGGAAUGAAGAGCUCUCAAACUAAAAACUGCUGAUUUAAAUUCAGAUGUCCUGGAAGAGGGACUUCAUCUUCUAAUGGACCAUUUUAGAGGCUAUGCUUUCUGUAAACCAGUGGUGGUAUUACGCUAAUAUCAGAUAGCUGUAUGCAUCUGCAAGAUUAAUUUCCUAAUGCUCAGUUCUUGUUUCAGUCGCAAAUCAUUUACAGCAUAAAGAUUUCACUCAUAUUAAAUUACAAAGUAAUAUUUCACAUGUAGUAUAAUGCCAGCAGCAUUACAUUAUAUAAGUAAUGCCAUGUAAUGUAAUGUAGAUUUUCUCAUUUUAAAACUUGUUACCUGCAACAAACUUGUAAUAUGACAAAGCCUGUGGGAUGAAGCGUUUCAGUGUUUACAUUGUCUACAGUGUAUUUAACUCAUUCCUCACCAGUGGCUUCCACCAUUCCCUCCAGGAUCACCACAAUCUCAAAGUCCUCCUUCUCCAGCUGAGCCUGCGACAUGUCCCAGAAAGCGGAGCGUGCGUCAAUCUCGUGGGAGAUCACCAGCGGUGAGACCAGGAAGAGGCGGUCGUCUCCCGUCUCAAAGCCCACGCUGAUGUCAGUCUGGUCCAGAGGGAUGAACUCACCUUGAGGAGGCCAAAGAGAGCGAGGUGAAAUAAAGCACCUUCUCACUGAAUAUAGUGGAAGCUGACCUGGAUUUAAUACAUAUAUUACAUAUUAAACUUGAGCUGUGAGUUCCAGGAGUCUCACCUUCCUGAGUCUGUUUGGACUUAAUGAGUUUGGCCCUCAUGUUGGCCCCUACGAUGUGGGAGCUACGCAGGUCGCCAACUCUGAACAUCAGACAGAGCUUAUCGUCCCUCAGAGAGAUGACGGCGUGUUUGGAGAAGACCAGAGUCUCAGCUCGUUUGUUGGGCUGGGAGAUCUUCACAAACAUGCAGCCGACCUGAAAGGACACGGAGAACAACACACACAAGACUCUGACUGGAUGUUGGUGUCUGAGUUCAUUCACAAAACAGAGAAAGCUUCAGCCUCUUCAGCGCUUCUAAAGAACACAAUCUCCUCCUUCUAGUCUGAAAAUUUAUAUAUUCUUGUUUUUUUUAUUCAAGGAAACAGACUCGAGCUGUAUUCAUGUAAAUGCACAUUUUCUGUAGCUAAUUAUUUAUCUUUUUACUAAAAAUGUGUGAAAAAAUUCUGCACAAAUAAUCAUAAAAAGUAAAUAAUAAUGCAGAUAUUGAAAAGGCAAUGAAAAUAUGUAUAUAUAAUGAUAUAUAUAAUAGUUAAUAAUUCAUUCAGAAUUUUCUGUCUUCCUGUAUGACCUACACCACAGGAUUUUUAAGUUUUGCUCACCAUGAAGGCAUUGACCAUUGAUCCCAGUAUGGCUUGCAGCAGCAGCAGCAUGGUGCCCACUGGACACUGGUCAGUGAUGACGCGGUGGCCGUAGCCAAUAGUGGUCUCUGUCUCAAUGGAGAAGAGGAAGGCUGAGAUGAAGCCGUUGACAUUGUUGACGCACGGUAUCCAUGUAGUGUCUUCCAGAUGGUCCAAAUCACCCCUUGGGAGGAAAAUGAGAAGAAAGUGUGAGAAUGGAUGGGGGAGGUGAUGAGUACGCUAUGAGGUACCAAAUGGCCCCAAAGAAGAGCCAUGUGACGGCAUAGGCCAUGACGAAGACGAAGAGCGAGCAGCGCCAGUUGAGGUCCACCAGCGUGGUGAAGAUGUCCGUCAG